AAAACCUCUGUUAUACCCAUCAAAUUAUAGUGCUUUUCACAGGCUGUGACUUCCAGCUCAUCUGGUUUGUUUCCUAUACUUCUCGUAUUUGCAUAU